UACGUAGGGGGCAAGCGUUGUCCGGAUUUAUUGGGCGUAAAGAGCGUGUAGGCGGUUUGGUAGGUCCGUUGUGAAAACUCGAGGCUCAACCUCGAGACGCCGAUGGAAACCAUCAGACUAGAGUCCGGAAGAGGAGAGUGGAAUUCCUGGUGUAGCGGUGAAAUGCGCAGAUAUCAGGAAGAACACCCGUGGCUAAGGCGGCUCUCUAGUACGGUACUGACGCUGAGGUGCGAAAGCGUGGGAGCAAACAGG
rnacentral:rRNA from 1 species